rnacentral:rRNA from 1 species
AGAGUUUGAUCCUGGCUCAGGAUGAACGCUGGCGGCGUGCUUAACACAUGCAAGUCGAACGAAGCGCUACCGACGGAACUUUUCGGAGGGAAGAUGGUAAUGACUGAGUGGCGGACGGGUGAGUAACGCGUGGGUAACCUGCCUCACAGAGGGGGACAACAGCCGGAAACGGCUGCUAAUACCGCAUAACAAGGGAUUGCCGCAUGACGAUCCUUUCAAAGAUUUAUCGCUGUGAGAUGGACCCGCGUCUGAUUAGCUUGUUGGUGGGGUAACGGCCUACCAAGGCGACGAUCAGUAGCCGGCUUGAGAGAGUGAACGGCCACAUUGGGACUGAGACACGGCCCAGACUCCUACGGGAGGCAGCAGUGGGGAAUAUUGCACAAUGGGGGAAACCCUGAUGCAGCGACGCCGCGUGAGUGAAGAAGUAUUUCGGUAUGUAAAACUCUAUCAGCAGGGAAGAUAAUGACGGUACCUGACUAAGAAGCCCCGGCUAACUACGUG